UACGUAGGGUGCAAGCGUUAAUCGGAAUUACUGGGCGUAAAGCGUGCGCAGGCGGUUUUGUAAGUCUGACGUGAAAUCCCCCGGGCUCAACCUGGGAAUUGCGUUGGAGACUACAAGGCUGGAGUCUGGCAGAGGGGGGUAGAAUUCCACGUGUAGCAGUGAAAUGCGUAGAGAUGUGGAGGAACACCGAUGGCGAAGGCAGCCCCCUGGGUCAAGACUGACGCUCAUGCACGAAAGCGUGGGGAGCAAACAGG
rnacentral:rRNA from 1 species